rfam:Salmo salar isolate Sally breed double haploid chromosome ssa09, whole genome shotgun sequence.
UGCACUCACUACUGUAAGUCGCUCUGGAUAAGAGCGUCUGCUAAAUGGCUAAAA